UGGCUUCUCGUUUGAAGGUCCUCAGGGUGUUCAAAGCACUGCACAGAACAAGAAUGGAGUUGUUCAAAGAAGAUACCAGAGCAUUGACAGACUGACCAGGUGAAAGCUAUGAUCUCUUACUGAUGUCACUUCAAUCAUUGUAGAUGAAGGGGAUGAUACAGCUGCAAGACGAAAGAUAAAUGAGGAAUUCAGGAAAAACAAAAAUGAGACUUCGGAGGAAAACAUCAGUCAGAUGAUUAAAAUGGCCGC